rnacentral:tRNA from 1 species
ACCUGGGUGGCUCAGUGGGUUGAGCAUCUGACUUCUGCUCAGGUCACAUUCUCGCUGUUCGUGGGUUUGAGCCCCGCCUCAGGCU